AUGAACGCUGGCGGCGUGCCUAAUACAUGCAAGUCGCGCGAACAGACGAGGAGCUUGCUCCUCUGACGUUAGCGGCGGACGGGUGAGUAACACGUGGAUAACCUACCUAUAAGACUGGGAUAACUUCGGGAAACCGGAGCUAAUACCGGAUAAUAUAUUGAACCGCAUGGUUCAAUAGUGAAAGACGGUUUUGCUGUCACUUAUAGAUGGAUCCGCGCCGCAUUAGCUAGUUGGUAAGGUAACGGCUUACCAAGGCAACGAUGCGUAGCCGACCUGAGAGGGUGAUCGGCCACACUGGAACUGAGACACGGUCCAGACUCCUACGGGAGGCAACAGUAGGGAAUCUUCCGCAAUGGGCGAAAGCCUGACGGAGCAACGCCGCGUGAGUGAUGAAGGUCUUCGGAUCGUAAAACUCUGUUAUUAGGGAAGAACAAAUGUGUAAGUAACUAUGCACGUCUUGACGGUACCUAAUCAGAAAGCCACGGCUAACUACGUG
rnacentral:rRNA from 1 species